UACGUAGGGGGCGAGCGUUGUCCGGAUUUAUUGGGCGUAAAGAGCGUGUAGGCGGCCAGGUAGGUCUGCUGUGAAAACUCGAGGCUCAACCUCGAGACGUCGGCGGAAACCAUCUGGCUAGAGUCCGGAAGAGGAGAGUGGAAUUCCUGGUAUAGCGGUGAAAUGCGCAGAUAUCAGGAAGAACACCAAUGGCGAAGGCAGCUCUCUGGGACGGUACUGACGCUGAGACGCGAAAGCGUGGGGAGCAAACAGG
rnacentral:rRNA from 1 species